CCAGACGGCCGGAUGGCCGCCUUCGGCGCGGUUCGCCGCGCCGGGGGAGGAAAGUCCGGGCUCCACGGGAACACGGUGCCGGGUAAUCCCCGGCGGGGGCGACCCUAGGGAAAGUGCCACAGAAAGCAAACCGCCCGCCGUAGCGCCCAUGGCGCGAAGGCGGGUAAGGGUGAAAGGGUGCGGUAAGAGCGCACCGCGUCCCCGGCGACGGGGGCGGCAUGGUAAACCCCACCGGGAGCAAGACCAAGUAGGGGCGGCAUGCCGGGAUAUUCCCGGCGGGUGGGUUUCCGCGCCGUCGCCCGGGUCGGUCGCACGAGGCGUCCGGUAACGGGCGUCCCAGAUGAAUGGCCAUCUCCCGCCUUGGCGGGAACAGAACCCGGCUUACAGGCCGUCUGGCACU
rnacentral:RNase_P_RNA from 1 species